UACGUUAUUGUUUUGACGUUACCGACAGAAUAAGCACCGGCUAACUCUGUGCCAGCAGCCGCGGUAAUACAGAGGGUGCAAGCGUUAAUCGGAAUUACUGGGCGUAAAGCGCGCGUAGGUGGUUUGUUAAGUUGAAUGUGAAAUCCCCGGGCUCAACUGGGAACUGCAUCCAAAACUGGCAAGCUAGAGUAGGGCAGAGGGUGGUGGAAUUUCCUGUGUAGCGGUGAAAUGCGUAGAUAU
rnacentral:rRNA from 1 species